AAAAUUUUAUUAGUUUAAAAUGGUUUCUUUCUUCGACUUUUUUCGUAAAGAUCGCAGACGUGGAACACCCUCCACUGGUUUCGGUCCGGUGAGGCGGAAUUCCUUUUCCGAAUAUACUCUACUGCUGUCGCAAAAGUUGCGAAGGUGGAACUCUCUCCACUACCUUUCUUUCAACUAAAGGAAAACCCCGUUAAAUAUAAACUAAGUACUCGUGAAGAGGAAACCCUCAGGCUCUUGGAGUCGCUUACGCGUACCGUGACAGCAUAUUUCCAUAAAGGAUUACUUGCAUUUUUAAAAGCAUUAUUGGAUUACCGAAAGAAAAAUUAACCUAAAUCUGUUGAAAGUCGUGUACCAGUGUCAAGUCACGGAGGUGCUCCGUCACAUGGCGGCUAACCUCAAACAUCGAAAUAAGAGCCCUAAAGUGUAGCGAAUAUGUUGCAGUCAAAGCAGAAUUUCAUUGAAAUUCUGACUGACAAUAACUAAAAUAGACAAAAUAUUAUUCAUACUAUUUCAUGGCGUUGGAUGGAUUUAAACGUAAAUGACUCAGUCUGAAAUUAGUCAGAAAGGCAACACCAAUGCACAGGGAAGGAAGCAUAUUAAUGCAUAACUGAUUUGACCUCAUUUAAUUUUCUUUUUACGCCGCCACUGGUAGUGCGUAAAUUUCUAACGGAAGUGUUUGUAACCUUGAACUUGAAAUUUGUAGUUCUUUGGAGAGUAUGUAAAUUUAUAUGUAAGCAUAUUAAUAUUUAGAGCUUGGAAUUAACUCGCUCAUUUUAACUCACCACACCGUAGCACAUUCAACACGUGCCUGCUGAUCCAGCUCGGAGUAUCAAAAAUAUGUAAGUGUUGUAAAUUUUGCCUAUAUAUAUAUUUACUCUUGCUCUCAUCUUUUUGUAUUAUUGUUAUACUUACCCAUAUAUAUAUAUCUUAUUUAAACUAUAAACAUGUAAAUUUAAGAUUUAUUUCUAUGAAUGAAGUAGGGCGGGCCUAAAAUUUUAGUUUACGGGGGAAAAACGAAUUUAGAAAUAUAAAAGAAUUAGUAUGUACAUCAACAUUAUUUUAACUAAUAAAUGAAUUGUAGUCAUUGAAAUGAAGUUCUAAAAUUUUUGGUGUUGUGAGAAUGAUUUAGGCCUUCGUUUGGAAAUGGUUGGGAUCGGAGAUGAUGUGUAAGGAAGUCUCUCGUAUGGUUGGGUAGGGGAGAGAAGAGAAGCGGAUUUAUGGCUUCUACAGUUCGUUCGUAAGCAUUUCCGCUUUUCAUUAUAUCCGUUCGUCCGUUUUAUUUCUUUUUUGGGGUUUCCGGGUAAGAAAUUUUAGUUCAGUUUUUGUUCUGUCCGAUUAUUAUAUGUUCAUGAAAUAUUUUUUUUGUAAUGAUGAUCCGCGUACACUAACGGCAAGCAAGAACCACCCCAAUCCGGCGAGCUAAGACCAGGUCACAACUAGCAUGCACGCUUGGCCAUAUACGAGGCUCUCGACAGAGGGAUAGUAGAUCAUUAAUUUCAUUAUAAAAUGGCGCCCAACGUGGGGCCCUCCUUAAAGCAGUCUAUGUACUUAGGGUUCUCCACUAAUUUAAUAGGAAGAUUUCAGUUUCUUGGAUUCGGAAUGUAGUAUCAAAUAAGGCUAUUAGAGCUAUUUGGCUAACCAACCAUCGAAAUUGUUCGAGUUGCGGAAUAAGUUCAAUAUAACGUUUAUACGUAAACUUACCCUUCUCUACUUUCUAUCAGAUACAUAACUUUUUAUAUUACAUUUUUUUUAUUUAUCAUGUUUUGCGUUUAGAUUUGGAAUUAUGAGAAGUAGUUUUAUCGAUUUCAUAACCAGUCACAGCGGCAAAAUAAUCAUCAUAGGGGAUAAUGAAUUGGUAAUGUGGAAUUAUCAUUUUCUUUCGAAAUUAGUGCCGCGUCGAACUGGCCCUCUUUCAAGCGAAGGCUAAGCAUAUGGUAUUACAUGGGGACACCUACGCAGUUUUGCGAAAUAUUGACAUGAUCACCGAAGGCGUAACAGAAGAAAGUCUAGCGCGUUCCGACAAACUUUUAAGUAUACGCGAUAAUAUUCGUGGAUUUUUGGAGAAGGCCCAUUAUCGCAAUGAACAUCGUUAUAACCUGCGAACUCGAGAAAUAAAAUAUAAGGUUGGUCAAGAGGUCUUACGCAGAAACUUUGCUCAUAGUAACAUGGCAAAACAUUUUAAUGCAAAGCUGGCAAAAACUUUCCUUAAAGCCAGAGUGCGAGAGAUAUUAGGUUCAUCUUAUUAUUCAUUAGAAGAUUUGGAAGGUAAAGGUAUAGGCACAAAUCAUGCAAAAGACAUGCAACCCUGCUAAACAUGUCGCCUUUUUCAGAUUUCCUUUAAAUGUAAUCCUGUACAAUUUAAAGAAAACCUGCUUUGUGAGCGCGAUUAAUAAAUAUAACUAUUUUUUUUCUUGUCUUGAAUUAUGUCAAAGUAUUAAGUAUUAUAAAAAAAAAAACAUUAAAAAAAAAAAUUUUUUUUUGCUUUAAAAACAAAUAAUAGAAGUUAAGCCCUAAUAAAUUAAAUAAGUCUUUUUCCAGAUCUACUACUUGCCGGUAGUAGAUUCGCUUUUGCCUGCAAGCCCGCGCUUGUCAAGUUAGCAAACAUCUGUUUACAACCACACUUACCAUUUCCGCAAGAUUUUAAUGUUCUUUUCUUCUGAGCAUC